rnacentral:rRNA from 1 species
AGAGUUUGAUCCUGGCUCAGGACGAACGCUGGCGGCGUGCCUAAUACAUGCAAGUCGAACGCUUCUUUUUCCACCGGAGCUUGCUCCACCGGAAAAAGAGGAGUGGCGAACGGGUGAGUAACACGUGGGUAACCUGCCCAUCAGAAGGGGAUAACACUUGGAAACAGGUGCUAAUACCGUAUAACAAUCAAAACCGCAUGGUUUUGAUUUGAAAGGCGCUUUCGGGUGUCGCUGAUGGAUGGACCCGCGGUGCAUUAGCUAGUUGGUGAGGUAACGGCUCACCAAGGCCACGAUGCAUAGCCGACCUGAGAGGGUGAUCGGCCACAUUGGGACUGAGACACGGCCCAAACUCCUACGGGAGGCAGCAGUAGGGAAUCUUCGGCAAUGGACGAAAGUCUGACCGAGCAACGCCGCGUGAGUGAAGAAGGUUUUCGGAUCGUAAAACUCUGUUGUUAGAGAAGAACAAGGAUGAGAGUAACUGUUCAUCCCUUGACGGUAUCUAACCAGAAAGCCACGGCUAACUACGUGCCAGCAGCCGCGGUAAUACGUAGGUGGCAAGCGUUGUCCGGAUUUAUUGGGCGUAAAGCGAGCGCAGGCGGUUUCUUAAGUCUGAUGUGAAAGCCCCCGGCUCAACCGGGGAGGGUCAUUGGAAACUGGGAGACUUGAGUGCAGAAGAGGAGAGUGGAAUUCCAUGUGUAGCGGUGAAAUGCGUAGAUAUAUGGAGGAACACCAGUGGCGAAGGCGGCUCUCUGGUCUGUAACUGACGCUGAGGCUCGAAAGCGUGGGGAGCAAACAGGAUUAGAUACCCUGGUAGUCCACGCCGUAAACGAUGAGUGCUAAGUGUUGGAGGGUUUCCGCCCUUCAGUGCUGCAGCUAACGCAUUAAGCACUCCGCCUGGGGAGUACGACCGCAAGGUUGAAACUCAAAGGAAUUGACGGGGGCCCGCACAAGCGGUGGAGCAUGUGGUUUAAUUCGAAGCAACGCGAAGAACCUUACCAGGUCUUGACAUCCUUUGACCACUCUAGAGAUAGAGCUUCCCCUUCGGGGG